ACCCUAGAUAGAUAACCUACGUCGAAACGACGUAAUCGAUUUUGAAAAAUCGUUAUAACUCAUUUGUUUUUCGCGUUAUUAUCCUGCCCGUUCCUGUCAACUCAGUCGGCGGUCGGAGCUUGUAGGACAUACCCAUAUCGCCCCGGCCACGAUAAAAAUUACAUUAUGACGUCACGAAACCGUGCAGACGAUGCAGCAACCUGUCGGUUGUUGCUUGAAACAA